AAAUCAAAAGUUUUAAUAUAUGAAAAAAUCACAAAAAAGGGUUUAAAUAGUUUCUGCAUAUGUUAUAUUAAUAUUUAAUCUAAAUAAAUGUUAGGUAUUUUAACUUAAAUGCCCUAAAGUUAUUAUUUUGACUGAUCUGGCUACAGUGCAAAACGUUAUAAAAAACGCUAAUUUUGAGGCGCUCUCACACUGGAAAGAUUUGGGCAUCCCAUUGUCCCUGCUUGCCGUAUUCUCGUCACUCUCUCGCUAACAAACUACAAACCACUGAAUACGCAGCGUUGCCGUUUUGGUCCGAUCGGACCAAAAUUGGUAGUUUUAUUUGCCUUUGGUAAUUUGGUUGGUAGGCAUAAAGGCACAAUGCUAAUGUGUAGCAAUUGAUGUCUAAAUACUCAUGCGAUACAUUGCUAGCAAUGAACUGUCAUUUUAAUGGUUUGAUAGAGCUGUUUUCAUUUGCACAAAAAUUUUAAAGAGGCAACAUGAUGCCAGCAAAGAUGAAAUGCCAAUGUUUUAUGUUUUGUUGCGCAAACUGCGAUUGAGCAAAAUAAUAUUCAAAACAUGGAAAAUAGUAUUUAAAUAUUGUACAUAUAUUCAUAUGUAUAUGUAUGGUUAAUAUUUUAUUGAUAAUUGUUAACAUAUGUAACUAUCAAUCAUCAUAUUUAAUUAUUAAAUUGGAAUUGCAAUAAUUAUUUAAUUCUUGAAACAUAAAAUCUUAUUUUUCCAAAUAAUACAUUUAUUGGAAAAUGUUAAUUUCUUUUUUUUUCAUUCUUCACAUAAAUUUUUGUCAUCCUAAUAAAAUUUUUUAAUGGUUCAGGAGCUCAAACAUGCGCUAUAUCAGCUCGAACAUACCUAUCCGACGUCAUUUCGAAAGUGAAUAUAUCAUGAUAGUAAAUUCCCACACAACAACAUUGCAGACCUCAAUGGCAAUGUAACAUAUUUGGCCGAUGGUGAGCAAUGUACAUUGUCUGUGGAGCUGCGGUGUAAGGUUAAAAAAAAAUCAUGAAUGGGAACCUGCUCAAUGUGUGAAAACGAGAGAUCUAACUAUAUCUGAAACUAUGAGAUAAAGGAUUAUAAUUGUUAAUAUUAUACUUUCAACUGGUUUUUUAGGUAAAUGAAAACUUAAACUUUUACGACAUGUCAAUUAACAACGGUUUUGACGACUGGAAAGAUCAGACUGAAAUCCUACCAAAAAUAUAUGUGAACGGAGGGAUUUAUUGCCGCCGUUCAAGAUCAAUAAUAAAAAAUUUAAUACAAUGAAAAUUAAAUAAAAUGCGUAGUUUAAAUGAA